ACUCAGGCCAAGCUCUGCUGCUUCCAAUGUAACACAGCUGAACUAAGGAUGAGCAAGAAGCUUGUGCCACUAUAGCCUGCUGAUCUGGGGCAGAGCUGUCUGCUACAUCUCCUCCUUUCUUUUUCAGAAACAGCAGCAGCUACAGCAGGGAAUCAGUCACCCAGCUCACACUCAGUCCGACUGUGAAAGAAGUGUUUGCUUUACCCCACCAGCGAUGGUCGUGUUGUCGCUCUCCGGUCCUGUGAAGAGGACCAACCUGCUUGCCAUGGUUUGUCAGAGCUCCUUACUCUCCUCGUGGCUGUCAAGAUCGGUGGCUUCAGAGAGUCAUCCUGGAGAAAGAAGCGCUCACCUACACCUCUCCUCAAGGCACUCACUCAAACACUUAACAUGUGCCAGCAUUCUCAAGUGGCUCAAAGGGGGCACUUCAUCUCGUCCUAAUGCCAUUUGGGUUGAGGAAGUUAGAUCGCGUGCCCAAGGUCUCCCAGGUGAACAGCAGAGAGUGGAUUUGCAUUGCUGGCACCAG
rnacentral:lncRNA from 1 species